rnacentral:rRNA from 1 species
UACGGAGGGGGCUAGCGUUGUUCGGAAUUACUGGGCGUAAAGCGCACGUAGGCGGCUUUGUAAGUUAGAGGUGAAAGCCCGGGGCUCAACUCCGGAAUUGCCUUUAAGACUGCAUCGCUAGAAUUGUGGAGAGGUAAGUGGAAUUCCGAGUGUAGAGGUGAAAUUCGUAGAUAUUCGGAAGAACACCAGUGGCGAAGGCGACACACUGGCUCACUACUGACGCUGAGGUGCGAAAGCGUGGGGAGCAAACAGG